GGGCAAAUCUCUUCCCUGGGGAAUUACCACCAGAUGGCAACCUGGGGCUUGUCUCCUCAAAGAUUCUCCCUGGUUGCCAGGGAGCACCAGGGCUCUGCUGUUGCCUAAAAGAUGGGAGAACUGAGAUGGAGUCAUUGGCCCCAGGGCAGAGUUGUGGCAGUGCAAAGCAAGAUCUCCUGGAUAUCUGCCCCCUACAACCCCUUACUCCAUCUCCUGUUCAGACAAAGACUGCUGUUUUCUUGAGUCAGGGAGUCAGUUGCUCCUCCCCUGAAAGCGGCCUCAACCCCACUCCCCAGGCAUUAAUUACAUAAUUAACUGAGGACAGAGAAGGAGGAGAAGGCCAUCCUGGCAGGAAUCCAAAGGCCGCGAAGACUUCUGAAAAUCUAGAUAUCAGACCAACUUCUACCUGUUCAGCAGCAACUGGCGUCCCUGAGACAGAACUGAAAGAAGCCAAGAUGUAAAGAAGAUGGCUGAGAACCCUGGAGCGGGGAGGGAGACCAGUGGGGAAGUAGUGCUUCCAUGGUUCCGGAGUAGGGCUGCUCAGGGGCUGGCCCCCACCUGCUCCUGCCCUGACCCAUCUCCC
ensembl:lncRNA